UAACAGUCAUAUGACAGUUACGAAAACUAUGUAUCUAUGUAUCUGUGUCUUGAUUCCAACAAUUCCUUACUCACAAACGGAUCUGGAAAUGUGAUACGCUCAAAAGAAAAAAGUGAUUUGAACCAUAUAUACCCAUUUAUAUACACACGUAAGGAUAUGUUCUUUUCUGCUUCUCUUAAACUUCAAACAAAACGUUAUGAGAGACCUCUGUUUGUGUUUUAGGAAUCUGCAGCCAUGGAUGAAAAGUUAGAAGAUGGAGCCUCUUUGCUUUCUCGCAUUGAAGUAUUGGAGAAAGUGAGCAACAAUGAGAGUGCUUGGAUGACUAUUGAUACAAAGGUACACACCCUUAUCCUUCGUGUUUUGGGAUUGUCACGAUGGGUUAAUUAAUUUGAAAAGAUAUUCUUGGCAAUCCCAUUUAUUUAUUCAUUUAUAUAGUGCACUCUAUUAUUGGUUUAUCAAUAAAAAUAUUUUGAACUUGAUAAUUGUGAAUGUACUCUUAUUAAAGAAGGAAAUUACCCAUUUUAUUUGGAUAAGUAACUAAGAGAGAUUAAAUAAUGGGAAAUUAAGUAAUCUAAUAACUUUUUAAUAUGUAUUUGAAGAAAACAACCAAUUUUUUUUAGCAAAAAUAACCAACUUGGUUUGGAAUAGGCAUUCCAGUCAAAAAUGACUGAUUUCAGAACCACAUAGUAACGAGAUAAAAAAAAAAGUUAGAAUGCAUGUAAUUUUGAAAUAAAACUAACAAAAGUAGCUAGUAGUUCCUAUAUAUACUACUCUUUUUUAAGUUGUAAUGAUUGUGUUUUGUUGUACCUAUAAGUUAAAGUUUUUAAAUAUAAGUACCAUUAUAUUGAACAAAGAGAAAAUAUUGUUUAUAUGAAUAUCCAUGUUUAAUAAUAAAAUAUAGGUUUAAACCAGUAGCAUCUAAUUUGAUAUAAUUUUUAAAAUUUUGAUCCUUAUGCAAACAUCUAAUGGUUGUGUCAUUAUUAUAGUUAUACUAUUAUAACUUAAUAAGAAAAAUAAAUUGUAUUGUAUGAUGUUAAGAGUUAAUGAAAAUUGAACAAAAUUAAUUCAACUAAUGUAAGUGACAUAUAUAAGUUUGUAUUAAUCCGUAUUAUUAUAAGGGCGUUAGGGGAUUGCAAAUUGGCUAGUGAAACGACUUAUAAGAUUGAUACAUAUUAGGAUCAAUUACUCAUAAGUGUUAGUAUUUCAAUGGUUUUCUAUCAAACUUUCAGGCAUGUCUAAAACAUAUCCAACCCAAAACCCAAAUUUUUGGAUCGUUUAGCCUUUAUACUUUCAACAUCAGAAACCCGAUCUACCUAAAACAAUCCAAAUUAUUAGCCUUUUAAGUGGAUAUCAAAAUUUAUGUUGUAACAAAUACUAAAAUUGACAAUGGUAAGACUUAUUGAUUUUAUUAACUUUUUUCUACAAGCAUCGACCUCGCAAUCCUUAAUGAAAUAUGCUUCAAGUUUAAAUGUCUUUUGGAAUAGGUUUGUUUAUUUUAUUCUUUAUUUACAAAUUUACAAAUUUGACUAAACUUUUAGU